CCUUAAUUUGGGAUAAAAUUGGAGUUGAUUGGAUGAGGUUGAGAAUUUACUGGCUGGAUGCCCUUCUUAACGCCACACAGAGUUUGCAGCAGAUACUUUCUCUGUGUGCGCUAGGAGAGAAAUAUCUGCUGAUACCUAGGAUUUAACUCUCAAUCUUUUGAGUGGAAUCUUUCGUGCCUAAGGCAGAACUAGAACUCACAGUCUCCUGGUGAUUGGCCCAAGUCACCCAGCCAGAUUUCAUGUCUAAAUUGGGCCAAAGUCACCCAGCUGGCUUUCAUGCCUAAGGCGGGACUAGAAUUCACAGUUUCCUAGUCAUGCCUAAAGCAGAACUAGAACUCAUAAUCUCCUAGUGAUUGGCCCAAGUCACCAAGCUGAUUUUCCUGUCUAAAGUGGGAUUAGAACUCAUAGCUUCAUGAUCUCCAGCCUGAAGCCUUAACCAUUAGGCUAAACUGGCUCAUACCGAUACCCACCCUUCUCUUCACCCUAGUUGUGACCUGGGCCAUGUCAAUGAACAAACCAGACCAGAUUCCCACCACCUCUAAGAGCCAUGGUGGCACAGUGGUUAGGAUGCAGUAUUGCA